UACGGGGGGAGCAAGCGUUGUUCGGAUUUACUGGGCGUAAAGGGCGCGUAGGCGGCCACGACAAGUCACUUGUGAAAUCUCCGGGCUUAACUCGGAACGGUCAAGUGAUACUGUCGGGCUAGAGUGCGGAAGGGGCAAUUGGAAUUCUCGGUGUAGCGGUGAAAUGCGUAGAUAUCGAGAGGAACACCUGCGGCGAAGGCGGGUUGCUGGGCCGACACUGACGCUGAGGCGCGAAGGCCAGGGGAGCAAACGGG
rnacentral:rRNA from 1 species